rnacentral:rRNA from 1 species
AGCUCGUUCGUAAUACAUUAGCAACUCAAUUUCGAUGUACCCGGAUUGACUCGGCGUGAUAGACUUUAUAUUCGCUGAGGACAUCUUGUAAUAAGGUGGCCGAGUUACGAAGUGAAAGCUUCUAAUUUGAAUCUAAAGUCUUAUGUUAGACCUCAGAUCAGGCAGGACUACCCGCCGAACUUAAGCAUAUCAAUAAGCGGAGGAAAAGAAACUAACAAGGAUUCCCCUAGUAGCGGCGAGCGAAGCGGGAAGAGCUCAAAUUUAAAAUCUGGCACCUUCGGUGUCCGAGUUGUAAUCUCGAGAAGUGUUUUCCGUGCUGGACCGCAUACAAGUCUGUUGGAAUACAGCGUCAUAGUGGUGAGAACCCCGUACAUGAUGCGGAUGCCCAGUACUUUGUGAUACACUUUCGAAGAGUCGAGUUGUUUGGGAAUGCAGCUCAAAUUGGGUGGUAAAUUCCAUCUAAAGCUAAAUAUUGGCGAGAGACCGAUAGCGAACAAGUACCGUGAGGGAAAGAUGAAAAGCACUUUGGAAAGAGAGUUAACAGUACGUGAAAUUGUUGGAAGGGAAACGCUUGAAGUCAGACUUGCGUAUUGGAGUUCAGCCGCAAGGUGUAUUCUCCAGUUUGCAGGCCAGCAUCAGUUUUUGGGGGUUCAAAAGGGUGAGAGGAAUGUGGCAGCUCCGGCUGUGUUAUAGCCUUUCACUGGAUGAGCCUUUGGGGACUGAGGUACGCAGCGCACUUUUUGCAAGACUCUCGAGUCUUUCUGCGCUUAGGAUGCUGGUGGAAUGGCUUUAAACGACCCGUCUUGAAACACGGACCAAGGAGUCUAACAUGCUUGCGAGUAUUUGGGUGUCAAACCCGGAUGCGUAAUGAAAGUGAAUGGAGGUGGGAACC